AAGUCGUAACAAGGUUUCCGUAGGUGAACCUGCGGAAGGAUCAUUAUAGAAUGUCACCUAUUUUGGUACACUCUUAUUAUCCCUUUGUAUACCUUCUCUGUUGCUUCCAUGGUGCCAGCUAAUUUUAGCUCUGGACAGGUGUUAAUUUCACCUGUUUGGAAGUGCCCAUGGGUGUCCUCUGGGAACUUCGGUACCUGGGGGACUUUUUACAAAUCUAAAAUGGUGAAAUUGUCUGAAUAUACAUUAAAUAAAAAUAAAACUUUCAACAACGGAUCUCUAGGCUCUU
rnacentral:misc_RNA from 1 species